UGAGAUGAAUGGUGAUGAAAUGAAGGCCAGGGGCUCUGGGGGCAGAAGAGAAUGCUGGUGCCACUCGUAUGCCCAGGAUAAGCAGUGAGAUGAAGAGCACAGCCUCUAGAGCCAGAGUGUCUGGAUCUAAAAUUGGCUCUGCCAACAGGCAUAAUUGGAAAUUGAAGAAUGCCAUGGAAAGCAAGGUGAAAAAGGCAGGGGUGUACACAUCAAUCCCAGAUCCAGGGGGCCAAUAUCUUUAAGUAGACUUCUUCAGAUGGCCCAUGGGGUCCCACAGAGCUUACAGGACAACUGAAGAUCACUCCAAACCAGGUCUUAAUUCUGGAUUCUAUGAUCUGUUCCAGUGAAUUAUAUUUCCACACCAGUACUACACCAGUACCACAGUGUCCUGAGUGCUGUAACUUUAUAAUUAGUCUUAA